rnacentral:rRNA from 1 species
GACGAACGCUGGCGGCGUGCCUAAUACAUGCAAGUUGAGCGCUGAAGGCUGGUACUUGUACCGACUGGAUGAGCAGCGAACGGGUGAGUAACGCGUGGGGAAUCUGCCUUUGAGCGGGGACAACAUUUGGAAACGAAUGCUAAUACCGCAUAACAACUUUAAACACAAGUUUUAAGUUUGAAAGAUGCAAUUGCAUCACUCAAAGAUGAUCCCGCGUUGUAUUAGCUAGUUGGUGAGGUAAAGGCUCACCAAGGCGAUGAUACAUAGCCGACCUGAGGGGGUGAUCGGCCACAUUGGGACUGAGACACGGCCCAAACUCCUACGGGAGGCAGCAGUAGGGAAUCUUCGGCAAUGGACGAAAGUCUGACCGAGCAACGCCGCGUGAGUGAAGAAGGUUUUCGGAUCGUAAAACUCUGUUGGUAGAGAAGAACGUUGGUGAGAGUGGAAAGCUCAUCAAGUGACGGUAACUACCCAGAAAGGGACGGCUAACUACGUGCCAGCAGCCGCGGUAA